rnacentral:rRNA from 1 species
UACAGAGGGAGCAAGCGUUAUCCGGAAUGAUUGGGCGUAAAGCGUCUGUAGGUGGUUCGUAAAGUUUAAUGUCAAAUACCAGGGCUUAACCCUGGACCGGCAUUGAAGCACUCACGGACUUGAGUACGGUAGAGGCAGAGGGAAUUCCAGGUGUAGCGGUGAAAUGCGUAGAUAUCUGGAGGAACACCGGUGGCGAAGGCGGCAUCCUGGACCGGUAUUGACGCUGAGGCGCGAAAGCCAGGGGAGCAAACGGG